rnacentral:lncRNA from 1 species
UGAUGUUUUGUGAAACAAUGCUCCUCGCAGCUGAUGAACCAGAAGGGAAAAUCUGCCCCAGAAACAAGUGCAGAAAAACCUGUGAUGGAUGGAGGCUGGGGCUGCUGGGACUCUUGGGAUCCCUCAUGGAAGAGAUAAAUCGGCUAUUUAGGACAGGAUUAGUUGCAUUGAUCUGGCUGUUUACAGAAGGAUUUUCAGGGCAUUGGAGUGUCUUUAAUUUAUGGAAUUGAUCCAAAACACCCAUCCAGCAGUAGUUUGCCAGGCCUACAGGUACUUAAAACUCACAACACCUUCCUACUUUGCCUUAUCAUUGUAUAUUUAAAUGCAUUCAUAUAUGCAGAAAUCACAAAGAUUAAGCUAUCACCUUCCAUCUACACUACACUGUGAUGAAGAAACAAAGCAAAAAGAUACCUUGAGGUGUGAGAAAUACUGUAAUUGGUGAGGGUAUCUGGGUAAUUGAUAGCCUUAUAUGAAUAAACAAACCAAAAGCUAGGAUGACAAGUACCAUGGGUCUAGAAGAACACACAGACAGGGUAACGAAUGAAAAUCCAAAAUAAUUAAUUGGGAAUUCUUUGCAUUACCAAAAAUGUCCCCUCCAAAAGAAAACUGACAAUUUACAAUAGGUGGCAAAAGAUGUUCCAAUAGUUUUGAUUUUGACAGAAGUGCAAAAUGCUUUUUUUUUUUCCUGAGCAGUGUUGAGCCAUCUAUAUCAUGAAUAUACUUUAUAAUGAAUAUCUGCAAAACAUAUUCAGGUAACCUUUCUAUGACUGUAAGACUACUGAAUUUUACAAGCUUCAUUUGUGAAUCAGACUGUGGUGUUUUUUUUAGCCACCUUUCUGGGUCUUCCUUACCAAUGUCCCUAAUAUGUUUUUCAUAGAGAAGAGCUGGAGGGGAAAAAACCCACAAAACAAACAAACAAGCAAAAACCAACAAAUGUCAAACAAACAAAUAAAAUCCAACCUAACAAGCCAUGGCUGAUGUGUGGAAUUCAGAAAAGAAAGUGGAAUAUGACCUUCCUUGUUAAUAUAGCUUCUUCUUAUCUUGCAGAGGUGGAGGUGACAAGAUCCCGUGCUGCUGUUGAACUGCUGCUGACAUCUUAAUUGUCUGAUAUUUUCCAGUGCCUGUUUUUUUUUUUUUUUUUUUGGUUUGGGAGUAAGACCUGGUAGCUUUUUCACAUGUGUAAAACACACUUGUGAGCUUAAGCUGGUGCCUGCUCAGAUGCUCUUCUGGUGUUUCUGGUGGUUGUGUGCUCUAAGGGCACAAGCUAACUUGAAUUGCAGUUCUGCUGCUUUGAAUUAGAAGAGCGCAGGAUUUCCUGGGGUUGUGCUGUCUUCAGCAAGGACAAUCAAGAAAUUUGUAUUGGAAACAUGGUGAAGUUACUCCCUGGUGUUUCCCUGGAUAGAAAGCUCUUACUCUCCUCCAGCCAUGAUUGAAUUCACUGUAGAAAUAAAUGCAACAAAAACCUUUUACAGAAUCACAGAGUGGUUGAGGUUGGAACAUCUGC